rnacentral:lncRNA from 1 species
AUUGUGCUUGCACGACUUCCCCCGGCCCGCGGCCUGUGAGCCCAGGUCCUGGGGUGAACCGAGCGCUCGCUCGUUCGUCAGACCGUAGCGCUCCAGCGGCUGUCCUUACUGUGUAGUAGCCAAAGCUGAGGGUGAUGACUGUGAACCAGAACAGACUGCCUCGCUGAAAAGUCACUUGGAACUCUUCUGUGGCAUCUGAAGCAGAUGGACGAAGCCAAGAGGGCCGAGAGUAUCUCAGCACCUAGAAAUGGACAAGGCUGGUUAUUAGAACAAAGAUUUCGCAGGUGGUGAGUCUCAAAGGCGAAGCUGAAUGAUUUGAUAUUUCAUGAAAUUCAGAAAUAAUUUGGAGCUUUUCAAACCUGGGAUAUGGAAGAAACUGACACUCCUGUUCUCUGGGAAGAGGCAAGAAUCUGCAUCAAAGAGCCCUGGAAGCAAUCAUGGCUCAACUGUGAUGCCUUUAGAACAUGAAGUCCUCCAAGAAGAUGCCAUAGGAAUGGCCUCCAUCCCAGGGCCUGGAGAGCAGCCAGAGACAAGAAGAGUAGCCCAGGAGGGCACUGGCAGUCAGUGCUACACUGUGGCCUGUCAGUCUCAGAGCCAGGAUUUAAUCACUGGAUCUCCCAUUAACCAGUCAUAAUGAAGUAAGAACAAGAAGAUGGGGAAGAGGAAGUGUAAAACCGUGGCUUAAAUUUGCCAAGGAUAAGCUGAGUGUACUUCAGCAGUCAUUUGCACAGAAUCCUUAUCCUAAUUUUACAACCAGGGAAAAACUGGCUGGACAGUCUCUUGUCCUGUGUUUGUAAUUGAUAACUGGUUUCAAAAUAAAAGCCAGACCACCACUUAGAGAGAGACACAGAAUGUUCACUGCCAGGGAACUGCAUGAUUCCUCUGCCAAAGGCCACCCAUUUACAAGAAUCCAGGAAAACCAGGUGGAAUCUCCCAAUGAUGACCCUGAGCAGAACUUCUUGUACCCAGGAAGUUCUACUGGGUGGAGCUGGCCACUCUUCCGUGGAGACACAGGGGACUCCCAAUUAACAUGAUGGCUCAAAUAACUGUAGCCUUAUGGAUUAAAAGGAAACUAAGCUGUGAUUUGGAGUAUCCAGGUGAUACAGAAAAUGGCCCUUGUCGAUGUAGAUCAGCAUUAUUUCCUUAUCCUUCUGCAUCUCCUCCUCAGUAUUCUGAAAGGGACAAGCCUGAGAUGGGGGAAAGCCAGCAUGCAAGGCCCUCCCCUUUGUGCUGUGUUCAUGGUGUGCACGGAGAGAGGCAGCAGCAGGAGGAACAGAAAGGUUAUUUUCUUUACUGACUCUUUCAAGGACAUCAGCAGAAUGGUUGGGAAUGUCAUCAUGAGCAGCCUCAGCCUCAGAAUUACCAGGAGAAGCUGGUCUUCCAGGAUCAGGUUCUAAUGUAUAUGAGUCACAGGAUUUAGGGAAGCAGGCACUUUCCCUUCAGUCCCAGCAGCAUGGUUGAUGUUCCCAAGUAAUGGAGAGUCCCUGUGCUCUCAGUUGUGGCACACACCUUUGCAAAUAGUGAUCAGAUCUCCACAAACGCCUCUUGGGUAAGAUAUGCAGCAACAUAGCUGGCUGCAGAGCAACCCAGUUCCCAAAUCCAGCAGCUCUUGGAUGAGAAGUCUGCAAGUGUUUACUGCUGGGACCAGGACUGUGUUUCUAGGAAAUGGUGCUAGGCUUCAGAGAGCAUCAUCCACAGGUCAUCCCACAACCAUCCACACAGAAGCCUGAGGAAAAGGGCUCUGCAGAGCUUGCACAUAAAGAUGCUGAACUCAGGAAGGCUCUGUGAGCUGCUGGUCUCUUCUGGUAGGGCAGCAGUGUCCUGAGAAGGUGGAGCUAGAGUAUGGAGAACAAAACUAACAAGCACCAAGGCAGCAAGCAAGGCAACCCCCAAAUGACAGCAGUUGCCAAAUCCAAAGCAAUCUGUGCUUCAGAAGACAGAGGCUCUGCACAGUCCCUGUCUCAGACAUUGUCUCCUCCUUAGAAGAUACCUAACAACAGCACUGUGGGAGGCUGAGGUGGGUGGAUCACCAGGUCAGGAGAUCAAGACCAUCCUUGAUCUUUAGUAGAGACGGUGAAACACUGUCUCUACUAAAAAAUACAAAAAAAAAUUAGCUAGCCGUGGCGGCGGGCACCUGUAGUCUCAACUAUUUGGGAGGCUGAGGCAGGAGAAUGGCCUGAACCCGGGAGGCAGAGCUUGCAGUGAGCUGAGAUUGCGCCACUGCACUCCAGCCUGGGCAACAGAGUGAGACUCCAUCUCAAAAAAAAAAAAAAAAAAAAAAAAAAAAGAUACCUAACAAGCAGUACAAGAAUAUGAAGGACCCCACUGCCCAGACUUUGUAUGGAGGGGUGUCUAAGGUGGCUACAGCAAAGCUGUCAUCUCCAUCGACCGGGACAGCAUCUCCAGCCAUGAUGUGUGGCCUGCUGGAACAGCAGCCAUGUGUCCUUUCACAGACAGCCCACCAAAGCUCUGACUGUGAAGGACAUCCCAACAUCAGCCUAGCCUGCAUACACUUAAGGCAUAGAAUCACCUGAGGCUUCUCCGUUGAAGACAGGGACUCCCGAUGGAGUUGCAGCCCCAGCUUUGCACUGUAAAGAGCCCCAGGGGGCUUCUGUGCUAGAGCAGGUGUGCAGACCCCUCCUCACCCCCUUCACUGAGAGCUGCUGCCUGGAACCAGUGUUUUGACUGAGUCACCUCUGGACGUGGGCCCACAAGAUCUGAGAGUGCCCAGACGAGAAGUUGAAUGCCUUGUGUUGACCUGAGUGUUUGGAAAAAAGCCCCAAACUUUGAAACAAUUUUCAUAAUUUUGAGCUUCAGGAUGUGGAAUCACUUCUCAAGUAUUCUGGAGUUCUGUCCAUCAGAGCGGGUCCUGCCAAUGCUGCCCUGUGCAGCGCUUCAGGCUGCAUCCCUCCCACUAGGGGGCGCCUUUCACAUAGUGGCGCCUGCCUUCUAGAGGAGCAACAUUUCCUGAACUGCAGGGUUCCCUCGGGGCUUUGUGUAAAACACAUCCACUGCAUAGAAUUUGUGUUAUUUCCAUUUUGUUUUCUUGACAAUAUUUAAUUAAUUACAAAAUGAUGUAUGUUAUGAUAGUUUAAGCAAUACAGAGAGUAACCAAACAAAA